AGAAAAGGCUGGAGUCCCAGUCCGUGGAGGAGCACUUACAGGGUCUUUCCUAAGUGCUGAUGGCAAAGAAUUAGAAACUAAGUGGAUGCUUUCGACAGAGGAACAGUUGGAUAAGAUGUCACACGUCCAUGCCUUGGAUUUCUGCACUUGACCUGGAAGGAUUCCCAUGAGAAAAGAAAAGGGCUCUGUGUAUGAAUGACAAGGAUACCUUCAGCCAGCUCAUUCUGGAUGAAUGAAUGAUUACACUAAGUGUCCUCCACAUUCCUCUGUGGGCUCACUUCAUGGACUCACUUUGCGUGCUUGUUAAAUGUGCUGUGUUGCUCCCAAGACCAUGUAAAGCCUACUGACCACUAACCUCCCUCACAGCAGAAACUAGACGUCAGGUUAAAAUGGGCAACUCCGACAGUCAGUACACCCUUCAAGGAUCUAAAAAUCAUAGCAAUACUAUUACUGGUGCUAAGCAAAUUCCUUGCUCCCUGAAAAUACGUGGCAUUCAUGCAAAAGAGGAAAAGUCAUUGCAUGGAUGGGGUCACGGAAGCAACGGAGCAGG
rnacentral:lncRNA from 10 species